rnacentral:rRNA from 1 species
CUUGGUCAUUUAGAGGAAGUAAAAGUCGUAACAAGGUCUCCGUAGGUGAACCUGCGGAGGGAUCAUUACACAAAUGAAAAUAUGAAGGCCCUUCAAACCGGCUGGAUUAUUUUUCUUCACCCUUGUCUUUUGCGCACUUGUUGUUUCCUGGGCGGGUUCGCUCGCCACCAGGACCACAAUAUAAACCUUUUUUAUGCAGUUGCAAUCAGCGUCAGUAUAACAAAUGUAAAUCAUUUACAACUUUCAACAACGGAUCUCUUGGUUCUGGCAUCGAUGAAGAACGCAGCGAAAUGCGAUAAGUAGUGUGAAUUGCAGAAUUCAGUGAAUCAUCGAAUCUUUGAACGCACAUUGCGCCCUUUGGUAUUCCAAAGGGCAUGCCUGUUCGAGCGUCAUUUGUACCCUCAAGCUUUGCUUGGUGUUGGGCGUCUUGUCUCUAGCUUUGCUGGAGACUCGCCUUAAAGUAAUUGGCAGCCGGCCUACUGGUUUCGGAGCGCAGCACAAGUCGCACUCUCUAUCAGCAAAGGUCUAGCAUCCAUUAAGCCUUUUUUUCAACUUUUGACCUCGGAUCAGGUAGGGAUACCCGCUGAACUUAAGCAUAUCAAUAAGCGGAGGA